UCAGAUUUGACCUGGCUCAGGAUGAACGCUAGCGACAGGCCUAACACAUGCAAGUCGAGGGGCAGCGGAGAGGUAGCAAUACCUUUGCCGGCGACCGGCGCACGGGUGAGUAACACGUAUGCAAUCCACCUGUAACAGGGGGAUAACCCGGAGAAAUCCGGACUAAUACCCCAUAAUAUGGGCGCUCCGCAUGGAGAGCCCAUUAAAGAGAGCAAUUUUGGUUACAGACGAGCAUGCGCUCCAUUAG
rnacentral:rRNA from 1 species